rnacentral:rRNA from 1 species
UGGGGAAUAUUGCACAAUGGGCGCAAGCCUGAUGCAGCCAUGCCGCGUGUAUGAAGAAGGCCUUCGGGUUGUAAAGUACUUUCAGCGGGGAGGAAGGGAGUAAAGUUAAUACCUUUGCUCAUUGACGUUACCCGCAGAAGAAGCACCGGCUAACUCCGUGCCAGCAGCCGCGGUAAUACGGAGGGUGCAAGCGUUAAUCGGAAUUACUGGGCGUAAAGCGCACGCAGGUGGUCUGUCAAGUCGGAUGUGAAAUCCCCGGGCUCAACCUGGGAACUGCAUUCGAAACUGGCAGGCUAGAGUCUUGUAGAGGGGGGUAGAAUUCCAGGUGUAGCGGUGAAAUGCGUAGAGAUCUGGAGGAAUACCGGUGGCGAAGGCGGCCCCCUGGACAAAGACUGACGCUCAGGUGCGAAAGCGUGGGGAGCAAACAGG